rnacentral:rRNA from 1 species
CGAACGCUGGUGGCGUGUCUUAUACAUGCAAGUCGAGCGAGGCAGCAAUGCCGAGCGGCGAACGGGUGAGUAACGCGUAAGCAAUCUGCCCCAUAUCAGGAAAUACCCGUGCCAACGCGCGGUUAAUGUCCAGGAGAGUGGGCUCCUUGCAUGAGGAGUUGACUAGAGAUUUAUCGGUAUGGGAUGAGCUUGCGUCCGAUUAGCUAGUUGGCGGGGCAACGGCCCACCAAGGCGACGAUCGGUAGCCGGCCUGAGAGGGUGAUCGGCCACAUUGGGACUGAGAUACGGCCCAGACUCCUACGGGAGGCAGCAGUAGGGAAUAUUGCACAAUGGGGGAAACCCUGAUGCAGCAACGCCACGUGUGGGAAGAAGCAUUUCGGUGUGUAAACCACUGUCAUGAGGGAAUAAGGCCCUUAUUCGUAAGGGAUUGAAUGUACCUUGAGAGGAAGCACCGGCAAACUUCGUGCCAGCAGCGGC